UGAUUAAUGAUGACUUCCAUAUAUACAUUCCUUAGAAAGCUGAACCAAAAAAAAUAAAUAAAAUUAAUAAACUGUUUGGGGCAUCUCUUCUUGAGCUGAUAAGGCCA
rnacentral:snoRNA from 1 species